rfam:Camelus ferus unplaced genomic scaffold scaffold1796, whole genome shotgun sequence.
AGGGUAAUAACUUAGUGGUAGAGUGCAUGCUUAGCAUGCACAAGGUCCUGGGUUCAAUCCCCAGUACCUCCA